ensembl:ncRNA VT23B5.1 ncRNA
GGAUCAUCGAUUCUCUCAAAAUCAACUGAUCCUUCAUAGAAAAGAUGAUGGAAUAGAUUACUAUUCUUCACUGCUUCUUCUCCAUUUUGUUUAUAUCCAAAAAU